rnacentral:rRNA from 1 species
UGUUUCGGCUAGGGGGCCAUCCCGGCUUACCAACCCGAUGCAAACUGCGAAUACCGGAGAAUGUUAUCACGGGAGACACACGGCGGGUGCUAACGUCCGUCGUGAAGAGGGAAACAACCCAGACCGCCAGCUAAGGUCCCAAAGUCAUGGUUAAGUGGGAAACGAUGUGGGAAGGCCCAGACAGCCAGGAUGUUGGCUUAGAAGCAGCCAUCAUUUAAAGAAAGCGUAAUAGCUCACUGGUCGAGUCGGCCUGCGCGGAAGAUGUAACGGGGCUAAACCAUGCACCGAAGCUGCGGCAGCGACACUAUGUGUUGUUGGGUAGGGGAGCGUUCUGUAAGCCUGUGAAGGUGGCCUGUGAGGGUUGCUGGAGGUAUCAGAAGUGCGAAUGCUGACAUAAGUAACGAUAAAGCGGGUGAAAAGCCCGCUCGCCGGAAGACCAAGGGUUCCUGUCCAACGUUAAUCGGGGCAGGGUGAGUCGACCCCUAAGGCGAGGCCGAAAGGCGUAGUCGAUGGGAAACGGGUUAAUAUUCCCGUACUUGGUGUUACUGCGAAGGGGGGACGGAGAAGGCUAUGUUGGCCGGGCGACGGUUGUCCCGGUUUAAGCGUGUAG